rnacentral:rRNA from 1 species
GACGUAGGGCGCGAGCGUUGUCCGGAUUUAUUGGGCGUAAAGAGCUCGUAGGCGGCUUGUCGCGUCGACUGUGAAAACCCGCGGCUCAACCGUGUGGCGGGCAGUUGAUACGGGCAGGCUAGAGUUCGGUAGGGGAGACUGGAAUUCCUGGUGUAGCGGUGAAAUGCGCAGAUAUCAGGAGGAACACCGAUGGCGAAGGCAGGUCUCUGGGCUGUAACUGACGCUGAGGAGCGAAAGCAUGGGGAGCGAACAGG